GCAUAUCAAUAAGCGGAGGAAAGAAACCAACCGGGAUUACCUCAGUAACGGCGAGUGAAGCGGUAACAGCUCAAAUUUGAAAUCUGGCUCUUGCGGAGUCCGAGUUGUAAUUUGUAGAAGAUGCUUUGGGUUGUGGGUUCGGCCUAAGUUCCUUGGAACAGGACGUCAUAGAGGGUGAGAAUCCCGUAUGUGGCCGAGGCCCGCGCCUAUGUAAAGCUCUUUCAACGAGUCGAGUUGUUUGGGAAUGCAGCUCAAAAUGGGUGGUAAAUUUCAUCUAAAGCUAAAUAUGGGCCAGAGACCGAUAGCGCACAAGUAGAGUGAUCGAAAGAUGAAAAGCACUUUGGAAAGAGAGUUAAACAGUACGUGAAAUUGUUGAAAGGGAAGCGCUUGCAACCAGACUUGGGCGCUGCCGAUCACCUUGAGUUUUCUCGAGUGCACUCGACAGCGCACAGGCCAGCAUCGGUUCGGGUGGCUGGAUAAAGGCCGUAGGAAUGUGGCUCUCUUCGGGGAGUGUUAUAGCCUACGGUGCCAUGCAGCCCAGCCGGACCGAGGACCGCGCCUUCGGGCUAGGAUGCUGGCGUAAUGGUUGUAAGCGACCCGUCUUGAAACACGGACC
rnacentral:rRNA from 1 species